UGAUGCCAUGUGAUUUUCAUUAUGUCUGUGAUCCAUACAAUGUGUUAGUAAAAAGCCAAGCAAUCUACUUUUUGGUGUCCUGUGUCCUCCUUGACUUUUCCGGGGUCGCAAUGUUAUAUUGGCAACGAGGAUAAUCUGGAGAAGUGUUUUUGUGUUUUUUGCUCUGCUCUCUGGCCACUGUAGAAGGGAUUGAUUGCUUGAUUGGAUGAUUGGACUCCAGGUGAACAAAGGCCUUGGGCAAAGGGAGGAAGACACAUGCAGGUGAGAUGGCAACAAUAGGAUCCCUGCCACCAUUUGAUUCAAAAGUGCAAGCUUGGGAGGAAUACUGUGAAAUAAUGGAGCACUUCUUUACUGCAAAUGUUAUCACUGAAGAAGAUAUAAAGAAGUCCAUUUUGCUCAGUGUGGUGGGAGCACAAACUUACAGUUUGAUUAGAAACCUCCUAAGUCCUGCAAAACCUGGAGAGAAGACUUUUGCACAAUUGGUAACUUUAUUAAAGAACCACUUUAACCCCAAACCAAGUGAAAUUGUCCAGAGAUUUAAAUUUAAUUCACGCAUGAGAAGACCCACUGAAUCUGUGGCUGAAUAUGUGGCUGAGUUGAGGAAACUGGCACAAGAUUGUAAUUAUGGAGCAUCACUUUCAAAUGUUACGGGACAGACUGGUAUCCAGAGAAGAUUAUUGUCAGAGACCAAUCUCACAUUUGAAAGUGCCCUGUCUCUAGCACAAGCAAUGGAGUCUGCCAAUAAAAAUGUGCAGGAUUUGCAGGCAAAAGCAGGAGCCAUGUCCUUUAAUGCAGUGAAGGCUGGUGGAUCAGAGAGCAUGGGGCAGAAGAGAGAGAGCCAGAGGAGAGCAGAAAAAGAUAAAGAUUGUUAUCACUGCAAGGGUAAACAUGCACCUGAGGGCUGUCGGUUCAAAAAGGAAAAAUGUCAUGCAUGUGGAAUGACUGGACACAUAGCUUGAGUGUGUCGCAAUAAGAAAAAGUUAAAUGCUGAAAGGAGAACUGACAGAAGACCCAAAGACAGUGGAAGACGCUUCACACAGGAGAGAAAAGUGCAUUAUUGUUCUCCCAGAGUGACAGAAGGGAGUGAUGAAGAGGAACAGCCAUUCCCAUUAUACAGUGUCUUGGGCAAAGAUGAAGAUGAAGAGGAAGCGGUACCACCCUACAAGGUAUGCAUGACUCUAAAUGGUGAACCAAUGACAUUUGAAGUGGGUACAGGACGUGGACUCACCAUAAUGAAUAUGAAAACAUUCGAAGAAAAAGUGAAAAAUGCCCCUCCAUUGAAGAAAACUUGCCUGAAGUUGAAAACAUAUACAAAGCAAAAGAUAAAGGUGCUGGGGAAAACAUAUGUGAAAGUGAACUACAAACAUCAAGAAAAGAUAAUGCUCAUCAUAGUAGUUAAAGGCACAGGUCCAAACUUAUUGGGAAGAUGGUGGCUGAAACAUGUUAAACUGGACUGGGCUGAAAUGAAGCACCUGGCACACCACCCACAGUCCCUGAACCUGGAGCAAGUGCACACUGCAAACCACUCACAGCCCCUGACCCUGAAGCAAGUGCUACAAAAUCAUGAAGGAGUAUUUAAAGAGGAGCUGGGAACUUUAAAAUGUUUUAAAGCUACUAUUCAUGUACCUGAUGCUGCUGCUCCUCGCUCUUAUAGACCCAGAUCUGUUCCCUGUGCUAUGAAGCCUAAAGUUGAUGCUGAGAUUGACAGAUUGUUAAAAGAGAACAUCAUUACUCCAGUCAAGUAUUCUGAACGGGCAGCUCCUGUGGUUCCUUUGCUCCAACCGGAUGGUAACUGUAGAUUGUGUGGAGAUUAUAAAUUGACUGUAAAUAGAGUCUCAGAGUCUACUAAUCUAUGAAUUUGGGACUUUGAUAAAUAAUUAAUUUAAUAACUAUAAACAAAAUCACCAUAUCAGUAGUUAUGGUUGAAGGAUUUGGUGUUCUUUACAGAGCAGGGGUUGGCAAAUCUCAUUCUUGUGCAACAUUAAAACAGACAACAGGUAUAUCCAAAAGCAUUUAUUUAACAAAGGGUAUAAGCAACACACAAUACUAAUCUAACUGUGGAAGCCAAGGUAAAAGCUGUUGUUGAUGCUCCCACCCCAACUUCAGUGAUAGAGCUCAAGGCCUACCUGGGCUUGUUGAAUUAUUAUAACCACUUCCUUCCCAAUCUCUCCACAUUGCUGGCCCCUUUACAUCAUCUGCUGAGAAAAGAUGUGGUUUAGAGCUGGGGGGAACGUCAAGAGGAAUCAUUCAGGAGGUCCAAAGACUUAUUGAAGUCAGCUAAUGUUUUGGUGCAUUAUUCUUGAGAGAGGGCUUUGCUAUUAGCCUGCGAUGCCUCACCAUACGCUGUGGGGAUAGUGUUGUCCCACAGAAUGGAAGAUGGAACAGAAAAACCCAUUGGUUUUGUAUCUUGCACCUUGGCACCAGCGGAGAAGAAAUACUCACAGCUGGAUAAAGAAGAUUUGGCUGUGAUCUUUGGAAUUAAAAGGUUCCACAAAUUUCUCUAUGGUUGAAACCUUACAAUUGUAACUGACCACAAGCCCCUGAUCUCCCUGUUCAAUGAAACUAAACCUGUUCCUCAGAUGGUGUCUCCACGUGUUCAGCGUUGGUCUGUAUGGCUCAGAGCUUAUGAGUAUCAGAUUGUAUACAGGCCUGGAAGGCAGCAUAUAAAUGCAGAUGCCCUCAGUAGGCUUCCCCUGCCAGAAACAUUUCCUGCUGAGGAAGAGGAGGCUCUGGUGCUGAUGCUGGAUGAAAUGGAUGACGCACCAGUGACCACAGAACAAGUAAGACAUUGGACAGCUAAAGAGGUGACAUUGUCACAUGUGCAUGAGUAUGUGCUAAAAGGAUGACCUUCUACAGUGAAGCCUGAAAUCAUGCCUUACUUCACCCGACGCUUGGAUCUCAGUGUGAGAGAUGGAUGUGUUCUGUGGGGAGCUCGUGUCAUUGUUCCUCAGAAAGGACAGAGAAUGCUGUUAAAGUUGCUGCAUCAGUCCCACCCAGGGAUGUCUAGGAUGAAAGGACUGGUCCGGUCAUAUGUCUGGUGGCCACAGAUGGAUCAAGAUGUAGAGAGGGAAGUAAACCAGUGUGAUGCAUGUCAACAGAAUAGCAUGUCUCCCUCUACAGCACCACUACAUCCCUGGGAAUGGCCAGAGAAGCCCUGGACUCAACUCCAUGUAGAUUAUGCAGAUCCAUUUUUGGGCAAGCUGUUUCUAGUGAUGGUUGAUUCUCAUUCUAAAUGGAUGGAUGUAUAUCCGGUGACUACAGCAACCUCUCAUGGAACCAUUGAAAAGCUCAGACAAAGUGUCAGUGUCCAUGGAUUGCCACAGAUGUUGGUGAGUGAUAAUGCUACCUGUUUUACAAGUGCUGAGUUUGCUGAUUUCAUGUAAAUAAAGCAUGUCACUUCAGCCCCCUUCCAUCCUUCAUCAAACGGAUUGGCUGAAAGAGCAGUUCGGACCUUUAAGGAUGGGAUGAAGAGGAUGCAAGGAGGAAAUGAGAACCAGUGUCCAGAUUCCUUUUUAGUUACAGAAUCACUCCACACUCUACUACAGGCUUGUCCCCGGCUGAAAUGCUGAUGUCACGGAGAACCAGGUCUGCCUUUGAUCUGUUACUCCCAGACGUGAAGUCUAAGGUGGAAAAGAAACAGUGGAAACAAAAAGUUAAUCAUGACACACACACCAAGCUCAGAAGUUUUUCACCUGGAAAUCCAGUAUUUACAAAAAACUAUGGAUAUGGUUCCAAAUGGAUUCCUGGAACAAUUGAGAGCUGCACAGGUCCCCUAUCAUGUACAGUCCUCAUCAGAAAUGGACAGGUUGUGAGGAGACAUAUUGACCAAAUCAGGAUGCGAGAGCUAAGUGGUGUUCCUGAUAUAGAUCCCAGUACACCUCAGGCUGUGAACAUUCCAUCUCCUGUGAUGCCAGAACAAGUGCAGUCCCCUGAGGUCCAGGCCCCUGACUCUCCAACCCAUGUGGAAGACUCUGAGUGACCCACCUAUGUUGGGGGUGAGUGUUGUCUGCAGACCUGAGAAGGGAGGGAUGUAGUAUCCUGAGACUUCUGGUGUUAUCUAGAGGGAGCUCUAGGCUCCAGGUGUGGGUUACCUGACAGGAAGUCCUGGCAGGAAGUCUAUAUAUAGGAGGUGAUGGCAUGUGAUUCUCAUUAUGUCUGUGAUCCAUACAAUGUGCUAGUAAAAAGCCAAGCAAUCUA